rnacentral:rRNA from 1 species
ACGGGGGGUGCAAGCGUUGUUCGGAAUUAUUGGGCGUAAAGAGCGUGUAGGCGGCUUGUCAAGUCAGAUGUGAAAGCCCUGGGCUUAACCCAGGAAGUGCAUUUGAAACUGGCAGGCUAGAGUAGGGGAGAGGGAAGUGGAAUUCCAGGUGUGGAGGUGAAAUUCGUUGAUACCAGGAGGACCACCGGUGGCGAAGGCGACUCCCUGGCACUAUUCCGACACUGAGGAGCGAAAGCUUGGGUAGCAAACAG